UACGUAGGGUGCGAGCGUUAAUCGGAAUUACUGGGCGUAAAGCGUGCGCAGGCGGCUCCGCAAGUCAGGCGUGAAAUCCCCGGGCUCAACCUGGGAAUGGCGCUUGAAACUGCGGAGCUAGAGUGUGGCAGAGGGAGGUAGAAUUCCACGUGUAGCAGUGAAAUGCGUAGAUAUGUGGAGGAAUACCGAUGGCGAAGGCAGCCUCCUGGGCCAACACUGACGCGCAUGCACGAAAGCGUGGGGAGCAAACAGG
rnacentral:rRNA from 1 species